rnacentral:rRNA from 1 species
GACGAACGCUGGCGGCGUGCAUAACACAUGCAAGUCGAACGGAAAGGCCCUGCUUUUGUGGGGUGCUCGAGUGGCGAACGGGUGAGUAACACGUGAGUAACCUGCCCUUGACUUUGGGAUAACUUCAGGAAACUGGGGCUAAUACCGGAUAGGAGCUCCUGCUGCAUGGUGGGGGUUGGAAAGUUUCGGCGGUUGGGGAUGGACUCGCGGCUUAUCAGCUUGUUGGUGGGGUAGUGGCUUACCAAGGCUUUGACGGGUAGCCGGCCUGAGAGGGUGACCGGCCACAUUGGGACUGAGAUACGGCCCAGACUCCUACGGGAGGCAGCAGUGGGGAAUAUUGCACAAUGGGCGGAAGCCUGAUGCAGCAACGCCGCGUGCGGGAUGACGGCCUUCGGGUUGUAAACCGCUUUCGCCUGUGACGAAGCGUGAGUGACGGUAAUGGGUGAAGAAGCACCGGCUAACUACGUG